rnacentral:rRNA from 1 species
UACGAAGGGGGCUAGCGUUGCUCGGAAUCACUGGGCGUAAAACGCACGUAGGCGGAUUGCUAAGUCAGGGGUGAAAUCCUGGAGCUCAACUCCAGAACUGCCUUUGAUACUGGCGAUCUCGAGUUCGGGAGAGGUGAGUGGAACUGCGAGUGUAGAGGUGAAAUUCGUAGAUAUUCGCAAGAACACCAGUGGCGAAGGCGGCUCACUGGCCCGAUACUGACGCUGAGGUGCGAAAGCGUGGGGAGCAAACAGG